UACGUAGGUCGCAAGCGUUGUCCGGAUUUACUGGGCGUAAAGAGCGCGCAGGCGGCUGGUCAAGUCCGAUGUGAAAUCUCCCGGCUCAACUGGGAAACUGCAUCGGAAACUGAUCGGCUUGAAGAUGGGAGAGGGUAGUGGAAUUCCCGGUGUAGUGGUGAAAUGCGUAGAUAUCGGGAGGAACACCAGUGGCGAAGGCGACUACCUGGCCCAUUCUUGACGCUGAGGCGCGAAAAGCUAGGGG
rnacentral:rRNA from 1 species